UGGAUAAUGGGUCCCACACCUGUACAAUAAAGAAAUCCAGCAUUACAACUUGAAGUACACCAAAGCCCACCAUAUUUUUUUUCGGAUCCUUUUAUAUAUACAGACCAUUGCUCAAAUGAAUCUUAGCCUGGUUUUAGAAAAUGUUAUCCUAUCAUUUAUUAGAGUGAAAACUAUGUAUUAUCACCCAUGACAGGUGGAUUUUGGCGCAAAUACUUUUAAAUGGCUGAAAACCCAUUUGUUCCAAGUCUUGUUUUAACUGAUUUGAUUGUUCUCUCUGUAGCCAGGAUUAUUGCCAGCAUCCUUCUUCUGCUUGUGGCUGGACAAUGUGAUCAUCUGAUUGUGAUGGGCACAAAGGACUUGUCCCUGCAACUAAGCUUAUUGUUUGAGAGCUACACAUUUAUUGCAGCUCAACAAUUAGAGGCACCAUUUGGGAAACAGAGAUAGAGAUAGGUUAUUAAAACUGUCUCAUAAAUCCCUGUCCACUGAUGGGAGGUGCAGUCUGAAACCUAAGCAGUUGGGAGGGCUUCCUUGGCACUUGUGUUACAGUAUAGGAGUCUCUUGAAUAAUGUUCUGCCUGGAACACUACUACUAGCAAGCAACUGUAUAGCCAUCACAUCUAAAGAACGACUUGCCAGAGAAAGUCAGCACUCUCUGCAAAACAGAAGAGGAUAAACAGAAAAAGCUUUGUCAGGAUAUAUCGGAGACAUACAUGACCACGGACAUAUACUUGCAGGAGCCUUUGAUCAAGUGCUGGACUUGAAAGGUGAACUUGACUUGUAUGAGAAAUAGAUGAAUCAAUCCAUCAAACUGGCAUUCCAAACUGAUGAGAUGCCAAAGUAACAUUCUGAACAUGAGCAAAGGAUCACAGAACCACACAGCUCUGAUCGUGAUACUGCAGGGGACAAAGAAUGUUUUAGGAUCCAUUCUUAUCAUUUACACAGCUGUGUUGGGAGUUCUACUCUGUUCUGAGCUCAUAUUAACAUUCCUGCUUUCUAAAUCACUGGGCUGAGUCAGGAAAAUACAUUGUUCAAUUCAUGCUGGAUAGCAAUCCUAAAAUAAAAGUAUAUCUAAUAUAA